rnacentral:rRNA from 1 species
CCUACGUGGGGCAGCAGUGGGGAAUAUUGGACAAUGGGGGGAACCCUGAUCCAGCCAUGCCGCGUGUGUGAAGAAGGCCCUCGGGUUGUAAAGCACUUUCAGUGAGGAAGAACGCCUGGUGGUUAAUACCCAUCAGGAAAGACAUCACUCACAUAAGAAGCACCGGCUAACGCCGUGCCAGCAGCCGCGGUAAUACGGAGGGUGCGAGCGUUAAUCGGAAUUACUGGGCGUAAAGCGCGCGUAGGUGGCUUGAUAAGCCGGUUGUGAAAGCCCCGGGCUCAACCUGGGAACGGCAUCCGGAACUGUCCAGCUAGAGUGCAGGAGAGGAAGGUAGAAUUCCCGGUGUAGCGGUGAAAUGCGUAGACAUCGGGAGGAAUACCAGUGGCGAAGGCGGCCUUCUGGACUGACACUGACACUGAGGUGCGAAAGCGUGGGUAGCAAACAGGAUUAGAUACCCUAGUAGUC